GACGAACGCUGGCGGCGUGCCUAAUACAUGCAAGUCGAGCGAACAGAAGCAGCAGAAUUACUUCGGUAAGGACGCUGUGGAAGUUAGCGGCGGAUGGGUGAGUAACACGUGGGUAACCUACCCUUAAGACUGGGAUACCACUUGGAAACAGGUGCUAAUACCGGAUAGGAGUAUGAGCUGCAUGGCUUAUACUUUAAAGGCGGCGAAAGCUGUCACUAAAGGAUGGACCUGCGAUGCAUUAGCUAGUUGGUAAGGUAACGGCUUACCAAGGCAAUGAUGCAUAGCCGAGUUGAGAGACUGAUCGGCCACAUUGGGACUGAGACACGGCCCAAACUCCUACGGGAGGCAGCAGUAGGGAAUCUUCCACAAUGGACGCAAGUCUGAUGGAGCAACGCCGCGUGAGUGAAGAAGGGUUUCGGCUCGUAAAGCUCUGUUGGUAGUGAAGAAAGAUAGAGGUAGUAACUGGCCUUUAUUUGACGGUAAUUACUUAGAAAGUCACGGCUAACUACGUGCCAGCAGCCGCGGUAAUACGUAGGUGGCAAGCGUUGUCCGGAUUUAUUGGGCGUAAAGCGAGUGCAGGCGGUUCAAUAAGUCUGAUGUGAAAGCCUUCGGCUCAACCGGAGAAUUGCAUCAGAAACUGUUGAACUUGAGUGCAGAACAGGAGAGUGGAACUCCAUGUGUAGCGGUGGAAUGCGUAGAUAUAUGGAAGAACNCCAGUGGCGAAGGCGGCUCUCUGGUCUGCAACUGACGCUGAGGCUCGAAAGCAUGGGUAGCGAACAGG
rnacentral:rRNA from 1 species